AUGUUGUGGUCUACCGUCUACCCUUUAAUAUUGUCCAUGAUAUCGGGAUCAAGAAAAAGAGUUGCUUCAGGAAAAUUUGAACUGGAUAAACAAGAUGCAAGUUAAGAGCAAUUUGUCACUGAGUCUUCAAAGUGUUGGCAGCUGCUGUCACUCCAAAAAGUAG
rnacentral:lncRNA from 13 species